GCACUUGAAGCUAUAUUUUGGUUUACCCUCAUUCACGACAUUGCGUUGUGUACGGGGUAUUCUGGAUAUGGUGGAUUUUGUACGAAGGUUGUGAGUAGGUCAACAAGGAAUCAGUCACUUCUAGUAAGAGAAGGUAACAUCCUACUUACUCUAAUCUUAUGAUGAUUCAAGAAGCCUUUGAUCAAAGCAAAAUAAAUAUUAGAAAGAGUUUUUAAUGUUUCAUUGUUUGAAUUAUCAUAUAAAAGAUUGAGAAAGACAUGAAUAAGUGAUUGAGUUUGAUAUUGAUCCAUACUCAUGCACUUAUUCAGGAUGUAGUAUGACUGAGGGAUUGAAUUGUACGGUAACUUGCCACUGAAGGGUAUGUUUGGAUUUGUCCAAUACAUUACUCAUCUUCCAGGUAGACAUGAUACGUUGCUAGACGUCAAUCAUGUCUUGUGGGUUGAUCGGAUCAAAGAGUUUGAUUAGAUCAAAGCAUCGAAAGGUUCUGAUUGCUAAGUCAGGUUUAGCACUAAAUUGAACCUAAAUUGAAUUAGAGGUAUUCU
rnacentral:lncRNA from 1 species